AUAACCUGUGAUUCCAAUUAAAGAUUUUAAAAAAGAGGAGUUCAGCCCUUCAAGUAUUGGUUUGCCCUUCUUAAGCCAGAGUCAGGGAGGCCUCAAGAUGUACAACUAUGCAGUUACCAAGAUGGCCAACAGUUAAGAGGAAAACAACAAUACAUCUGUUGUUACGAUGAGGAUGCCGGUCUUCUGUUUUACUGGAAGAGCAGUCAGAAGAUACCACCAUAUGAGGACAUGACCCUGAGUGAAGGACAGUGUCUCCCAUGAGGCAGGAGGAAAGAAGGCAGGUGAGUGAUAUGGUUAAAACUCAUUCUACAAAGCACACAAGGCUUCUGUCUCCAUGGGUCACGAUAAAUUUUUUAACACAGACUUUGAUUUCAUCUCGAUCUAUCUAGGACAAUGUUGAAAUUAAAUGGUAUCCAAAGUCUAGGCAACAGUAUCUUUGUCCUUGGGUCUGUGAAAUUCCACAAGAAAAGUGCUCAGAAAGAGUUGCAAGAAGUGAAGGAUUUAGGGAGUUUAGGAAUUAUUCAAACAAAACCAGUUAAAUUUAUAGGAAUCCCCAAUGAGGAAUGCAUUAAGAAUGGGAGUUUUGAAAUGAAAAUUUUCCACAUUAUUUCAGAGGUCCUGCUUCCUGACUGAAUGUUGCUUGUGUUUGCUCUUAUAAAUAAUAUUUCUUCCAACUGGCACCCUUAAACAGGAUCCAUUCAGACAAAUUUCAUGGGGCAUUGAGCAAUUCCGGUACCUUUCUCAAUCAAAACUAAAGGUUAUGUUAUUCUCCUUAUCCUUUCCUUUUGAGUGGCUACAAAGGAAGUUGUUGAUAUUAUUGUUAAUGUUUCAAAGAA